rnacentral:rRNA from 1 species
UACAGGAGACUGCAAGCGUUUAUUCGGAUUCACUGGGCGUAAAGGGUGCGCAGGCGGCCAAGUGUGUCAGGUGUGAAAUCCCGAGGCUUAACCUCGGAACUGCGCCUGAAACUACUUGGCUAGAGUACUGGAGAGGGUAACGGAAUUCACGGUGUAGCAGUGAAAUGCGUAGAUAUCGUGAGGAACACCAGAGGCGAAGGCGGUUACCUGGACAGUUACUGACGCU